rnacentral:lncRNA from 1 species
CCUCCCUGCUGUGACACAGCCCGGCGUCUCCCGGGCAGAGCCAAAGGAGGAGCCGGCCUUUCCCUCGGCGCUGGUUCCCGGCGCCGGGAGCGCCUCCGCCGCUCCGAGCCCUGGGCCGGGUCCCCGGCUCGCCCCGCAGCCGGGGCAGCCUCAGGUCGGGGGUGGUUUCACAGAGAAAACAACUGGAGCCUCCUCCACGCCUACUGCAAAGCCACGGGCGUCAGUUUGCAUUAGAUCCAGGUGGAGGAAGGAAGUGUGAAUGUCCCUCCGGGAGAGAGGAAACUGCAAAAGAUUGAGUGCUCUCGCCGUGAAGAAUGCAGAAGUUACUGUGCCUGCUCUCUGCCAUGCCGUGAGGAAGCCUCCCUUUUGCUGAGCCAGAUGUUCCCCUUCAUUGCACAGCAUGAAGAGGUGAAAAGGAGCAGAAAAACUGCAGUAAGGAAGACAAAAAAAACUCCCAAAAGCCAAGCCAACAAACAACCAAGGAUCAAGAGAAACAGCCUCUUUCAGUUUCCUGCCUCUGCUGUGUUUCCACCUUUGGAUGGGGCAGGAGUUGAACUGUGGCAUCUGAAGCCAGCUUUAACGUGGGAUUUAUCCUGAAUAAAAUGCUUAGAGAAGAAAAAGGCAUGCCAGUGGACACAGUCUUCAGCUUGCCUCUUUUUUUUUCCAUCAAAUGGCUGUUCUUAAAAACCAGUAAAGACUUUGGAGUUUGAAGUUACUGAGCUACAGAUAAAGUCAAAUUUCUAUUAAUUAACCUGUCAAUUAUCUACCUAAUUACCUGUGAGCUUUUGUUUUUCUCACUAUAAAAAUAUGUUAUGAAACAGCUGUCAUAAAACCCCUUAAUGUAAUUUCUUUAUUUUCCAUCCAUUUAAAUGCGAGUUUUUAAAUUCCCAUCUCUUUCAGUGGAGUUUUAAUUCUGGUUAAAAAGCUGUUGGGUAAAGUAUCUCUGAGUUUGAAUCAAGUCCAUCAGGAUUCAAAAAUAAAGCAUGGGAAAUGUUCUCA